GAUUAGAUACCCUGGUAGUCCAUGCCGUAAACGAUGAUUACUAAGUGUUGGAGGGUUUCCGCCCUUCAGUGCUGCAGCUAACGCAUUAAGUAAUCCGCCUGGGGAGUACGACCGCAAGGUUGAAACUCAAAAGAAUUGACGGGGGCCCGCACAAGCGGUGGAGCAUGUGGUUUAAUUCGAAGCUACGCGAAGAACCUUACCAGGUCUUGACAUCUUCUGCCAACCUAAGAGAUUAGGCGUUCCCUUUGGGGACAGAAUGACAGGUGGUGCAUGGUUGUCGUCAGCUCGUGUCGUGAGAUGUUGGGUUAAGUCCCGCAACGAGCGCAACCCUUAUUACUAGUUGCCAGCAUUCAGUUGGGCACUCUAGUGAGACUGCCGGUGACAAACCGGAGGAAGGUGGGGACGACGUCAAAUCAUCAUGCCCCUUAUGACCUGGGCUACACACGUGCUACAAUGGAUGGUACAACGAGUCGCGAAACCGCGAGGUUUAGCUAAUCUCUUAAAACCAUUCUCAGUUCGGACUGUAGGCUGCAACUCGCCUACACGAAGUCGGAAUCGCUAGUAAUCGCGGAUCAGCAUGCCGCGGUGAAUACGUUCCCGGGCCUUGUACACACCGCCCGUCACACCAUGAGAGUUUGUAACACCCAAAGCCGGUGGGGUAACCUUUUAGGAGCUAGCCGUCUAAGGUGGGACAGAUGAUUAGGGUGAAGUCGUAACA
rnacentral:rRNA from 1 species